UGCAGUCGAACGGUAGCAGGUAAGUACUUGUACUUAUGCUGACGAGUGGCGGACGGGUGAGUAAUGCUUGGGGAUCUGGCUUAUGGAGGGGGAUAACGACGGGAAACUGUCGCUAAUACCGCGUAGAAUUGAGAGAUGAAAGUGUGGGACCUUCGGGCCACAUGCCAUAGGAUGAACCCAAGUGGGAUUAGGUAGUUGGUAGGGUAAUGGCCUACCAAGCCGACGAUCUCUAGCUGGUCUGAGAGGAUGACCAGCCACACCGGGACUGAGACACGGCCCGGACUCCUACGGGAGGCAGCAGUGGGGAAUAUUGCGCAAUGGGGGGAACCCUGACGCAGCCAUGCCGCGUGAAUGAAGAAGGCCUUCGGGUUGUAAAGUUCUUUCGGUGACGAGGAAGGUUGUUGUGUUAAUAGCGCAACAAAUUGACGUUAAUCACAGAAGAAGCACCGGCUAACUCCGUGCCAGCAGCCGCGGUAAUACGGAGGGUGCGAGCGUUAAUCGGAAUAACUGGGCGUAAAGGGCACGCAGGCGGACUUUUAAGUGAGGUGUGAAAUCCCCGGGCUUAACCUGGGAAUUGCAUUUCAGACUGGGGGUCUAGAGUACUUUAGGGAGGGGUAGAAUUCCACGUGUAGCGGUGAAAUGCGUAGAGAUGUGGAGGAAUACCGAAGGCGAAGGCAGCCCCUUGGGAAUGUACUGACGCUCAUGUGCGAAAGCGUGGGGAGCAAACAGGAUUAGAUACCCUGGUAGUCCACGCUGUAAACGCUGUCGAUUUGGGGAUUGGGCUUUGAGCUUGGUGCCCGUAGCUAACGUGAUAAAUCGAC
rnacentral:rRNA from 1 species